GAUGAAGAACGUAGCGAAAUGCGAUAAGUAAUGUGAAUUGCAGAAUUCAGUGAAUCAUCGAAUCUUUGAACGCACAUUGCGCCCGCCAGUAUUCUGGCGGGCAUGCCUGUUCGAGCGUCAUUUCAACCAUCAAGCCCCCGGCUUGUGUUGGGGACCUGCGGCUGCCGCAGGCCCUGAAAACCAGUGGCGGGCUCGCUAGUCACUCCGAGCGUAGUAAUACAUCUCGCUCAGGGCGUGCUGCGGGUUCCGGCCGUUAAAAGCCUUAUUUACCCAAGGUUGACCUCGGAUCAGGUAGGAAGACCCGCUGAACUUAAGCAUAUCAAUAAGCGGGG
rnacentral:misc_RNA from 1 species